GACUUCCUUUUCGGACUAAGCUGAAAUCAUGGACGCCAGCCGCGUGCAGCCCAUCAAACUCGCUAGAGUAAGAAAAAAUAAUUUAACGAAUAUUCCCGGUUGAAUCAUGUAUUAUAAUAAGCGUUACUAAAGUGCUGGGAAGAACCGGCUCCCAGGGACAGUGUACCCAGGUGCGCGUUGAGUUCAUGGAUGACAGCAAUAGAUCCAUCAUCAGGAACGUGAAGGGCCCAGUAAGAGAAGGAGAUGUCCUGACACUUCUGGAGUCUGAAAGAGAGGCCAGGAGGCUUCGCUAGUGCACAUGUGAAGACCUGCAUUGGCCAAAGCAUCAACAUCAGCUCUACAGUUGGCAGUACAAUAUCAUUUGUGCGCAGUUUGAAAUAAAGUGUCUUUGUGAAUAAGUUGGUCUCCUCCUCAAUUUGUUUUUAUUAUGAAUAAUGUUUAAUUUUAUCUUGAGUUUUACGAUUGCUAUAAAGUACUAAUGGCACGUUUCCCCAGUUUAAUGUGAGAUACAGUCAGAUCCAAACCAGAUCAAAGCAAUUCAAUUUUGUGUACUCUAGAAUUUAGAUGUCAAGUGAUUUGUGUGUGUAUAGAGUGAGAUUUCAAACUAUGUAUCUGAUUCUGAAUCCCAACUAAAUAUCAACUGUAUUGGGCUUUAAACAGGGUAUCUGCGGGUCCUUAAAAAUUCUUUAAAUAUUUUUGGUCACAUUACCGCUAAAAUAUCUGAAGUCUGAUGGAGCUAAUGACUGUUUACAAUCAUUGGAAAGACCCUCGCGGUAGUUACUGCAUCAUCAGCAAGAAUGGCAGUAGCAGAAUACAGGUCGAACUACCUUCUUAAUUUACUCAAUAAUAGUAGUAAUAAUAAUAAUAUAGGUCGAGCUACAGCUGAUGAGCCUUCUAGCUAUUUAUUUAGCUGGUUAUUUUUUUUACUUGCCUGUCCGGAAAAAUAGCCUGAUUAAAACAUAAGUGAC
ensembl:lncRNA